rnacentral:rRNA from 1 species
GACACGCUGGCGGCGUGGAUUAGGCAUGCAAGUCGAACGGUAUCAUCCUUCGGGGUGAGAGAGUGGCGAACUGGUGAGUAACACGUAGGUUAUCUACCCUCAAGACGGGACAACCCAGGGAAACUUGGGCUAAUACCGGAUGUGAGCAACUUUUAGUGUUUGAAAGGUGGCGUAAGCUGUCGCUUGGGGAUGAGCCUGCGUCCUAUUAGUUAGUUGGUGAGGUAACGGCUCACCUAGGCAAUGAUAGGUAGGCGGCCUUAACGGGUGGUCGCCCACACUGGGAUUGAGAUACGGCCCAGACUCCUACGGGAGGCAGCAGUCGAGAAUAGUCUACAAUGGUCGGAAGACUGAUAGUGCGACGCCGCGUGAACGAUGAAUCCCUUCGGGGUGUAAAGUUCUUUUAUAUGUGAGCAGUGCUUCUUAUAUUAACAGUAUGGGGAGAGAGAUAUUAGCAUAUGAAUAAGCAACGGCUAACUCCGUG